GAUCAGGGCGUGUCAUCUGUCGCGCGGGUGCGCCGUGUCCCUCGUAAACCUUUCGUGCACGCCGGAGCGUGUCCUCUCACAUGAAAUCCAUCUCACCCUUUUGUGCACCACCGCGUGAGCACCCUUCGGGAUCAUACCCGAUCCAGGAAGGGGGCUUGCGUUUUCACACAAACCCCUAUUUAAAAGUGUAGAACGACCUCAUUUUUGCGAUAACACGCAAUCAAUACAACUUUCAACAACGGAUCUCUUGGCUCUCGCAUCGAUGAAGAACGCAGCGAAAUGCGAUACGUAAUGUGAAUUGCAGAAUUCAGUGAAUCAUCGAAUCUUUGAACGCACCUUGCGCCCCUUGGUAUUCCGAGGGGCACACCCGUUUGAGUGUCGUGAAAUUCUCAACCUCCUCGGUUUCUUCUGGACACCGAAGGAGGCUUGGACUUUGGAGGCCUUUGCUGGCGUCUCUCUCGCCAGCUCCUCUCAAAUGAAUUAGCGGGGUCCUCUUUGCCGAUCCUCGACAUGUGAUAAGAUGUUUCCGUGUCUUGGCUUAUGGCUCUGUUGCUUUUGGGACCCGCUUCGAGCCGUCUCGUCGAGACAACGUCUGAGCGUGUCUCCCUUCUCGGGAAACACUCUCAGACCCACGAACCCUGACCUCAAAU
rnacentral:rRNA from 1 species